AACGCACGAGACCUGCGGACCUGCGGAGGGAUCAUUAACACAACUUGUGGUUGUGGUGUGCACGUCGCCCUGCUCCACGCGGGGAUCAACGACUGUUGCUGCCGCUCCACAAUUGGAUCCGUCCAAUUACCCCGAGAACUGUUAAAGUCUUUUCAUCUUUGUCACAGACACCGAUGAAAUGCACUCUGACUGAAAACGCGAGAAGCUUCGCUCCGCGCGAAGUCUUCGCAAAUCCUUAAA
rnacentral:misc_RNA from 1 species